rnacentral:rRNA from 1 species
UGAAUCCAUAGGUGCAAGAGGCGAACCGGGGGAACUGAAACAUCUAAGUACCCCGAGGAAGAGAAAUCAACCGAGAUUCCCUUAGUAGCGGCGAGCGAACGGGGACCAGCCCUUAAGCACCGGGCCAGUUAGUGGAAGGUUCUGGAAAGGACCGCCAUAGUGGGUGAUAGCCCCGUACACGAAAGCUCAACGGUGUGAAAUCGAGUAGGUCGGGACACGUGAUAUCUUGACUGAAGACGGGGGGACCAUCCUCCAAGGCUAAAUACUCCCAGUUGACCGAUAGUGAACCAGUACCGUGAGGGAAAGGCGAAAAGAACCCCGGAGAGGGGAGUGAAAUAGACCCUGAAACCCUGUACGUACAAGCAGUCAGAGCCCUUCGGGGUGAUGGCGUACCUUUUGUAUAAUGGGUCAGCGACUUACAUUACGUGGCGAGGUUAACCGUAUAGGGGAGCCGUAGCGAGAGCGAGUCUUAACUGGGCGUCCAGUCGCGUGAUGUAGACCCGAAACCCGGCGAUCUAUCCAUGGGCAGGUUGAAGGUUGAGUAACAUCAACUGGAGGACCGAACCCACUAAUGUUGAAAAAUUAGGGGAUGACCUGUGGAUCGGAGUGAAAGGCUAAUCAAGCCGGGAGAUAGCUGGUUCUCCUCGAAAGCUAUUUAGGUAGCGCCUCGGACUUAUACCUACGGGGGUAGAGCACUGUUUGGGCUCGGGGGUCAUCCCGACUUACCAACCCCAUGCAAACUCCGAAUACCGUAGAGUACUAUCCGGGAGACACACGGCGGGUGCUAACGUCCGUCGUGGAAAGGGAAACAACCCAGACCGUCAGCUAAGGUCCCAAAAUCCAUGUUAAGUGGGAAACGAUGUGGGAAGGCUUAGACAGCUAGGAGGUUGGCUUAGAAGCAGCCAUCCUUUAAAGAAAGCGUAAUAGCUCACUAGUCGAGUCGGCCUGCGCGGAAGAUAUAACGGGGCUCAAACAUGGUACCGAAGCUACGGACUUGUGCUUGCACAAGUGGUAGAGGAGCGUUCUGUAAGCCGUUGAAGGUGUGUUGAGAAGCAUGCUGGAGGUAUCAGAAGUGCGAAUGCUGACAUGAGUAACGACAAUGCGAGUGAAAAACUCGCACGCCGAAAGACCAAGGGUUCCUGUCCAACGUUAAUCGGGGCAGGGUGAGUCGGCCCCUAAGGCGAGGCUGAAAAGCGUAGUCGAUGGGAAACGGGUUAAUAUUCCCGUACUUGGUUGUACUGCGAUGGGGGGACGGAGAAGGCUAGGUGAUCCGGGCGUUGGUUGUCCUGGUUCAAGUGUGUAGGGAGUGGGAUUAGGCAAAUCCGGUUCCACAAUCCUGAGACACGAUGACGGUCGUUCUACGGAACGCGAAGUCACUGAUGCCCUGCUUCCAGGAAAAGCCUCUAAGCUUCAGGUACAACCGAACCGUACCCGAAACCGACACAGGUGGUCCGGUAGAGAAUACCCAGGCGCUUGAGAGAACUCGGGUGAAGGAACUAGGCAAAAUGGUGCCGUAACUUCGGGAGAAGGCACGCUGGUGUGUACGUGAAGGUCCUGCGACUGGAGCGGAAGCCAGCCGAAGAUACCAGGCCCCUGCGACUGUUUAUUAAAAACACAGCACUCUGCAAACACGAAAGUGGACGUAUAGGGUGUGACGCCUGCCCGGUGCCGGAAGGUUAAUUGAUGGGGUUAGCUUAGGCGAAGCUCUUGAUCGAAGCCCCGGUAAACGGCGGCCGUAACUAUAACGGUCCUAAGGUAGCGAAAUUCCUUGUCGGGUAAGUUCCGACCUGCACGAAUGGCGUAACGAUGGGGGCGCUGUCUCCACCCGAGACUCAGUGAAAUUGAAAUCGCUGUUAAGAUGCAGUGUAUCCGCGGCUAGACGGAAAGACCCCGUGAACCUUUACUACAGCUUCACACUGGACUUUGAACUUGUUUGUGUAGGAUAGCUGGGAGGCUUAGAAACCAUCACGCCAGUGGUGGUGGAGCCGACCUUGAAAUACCAGCCUGGCAAGUUUGAGGUUCUAACUCAGCCCUGUGAUCCAGGGCGAGGACCGUGUGUGGUGGGUAGUUUGACUGGGGCGGUCUCCUCCCAAAGAGUAACGGAGGAGCACGAAGGUACCCUAAGCAUGGUCGGAAAUCAUGCGGUUAGUGUAAUGGCACAAGGGUGCUUGACUGCGAGACGGACAGGUCGAGCAGGUGCGAAAGCAGGUCAUAGUGAUCCGGUGGUUCUGUAUGGAAGGGCCAUCGCUCAACGGAUAAAAGGUACUCCGGGGAUAACAGGCUGAUACCGCCCAAGAGUUCACAUCGACGGCGGUGUUUGGCACCUCGAUGUCGGCUCAUCACAUCCUGGGGCUGAAGCCGGUCCCAAGGGUAUGGCUGUUCGCCAUUUAAAGUGGUACGCGAGCUGGGUUUAGAACGUCGUGAGACAGUUCGGUCCCUAUCUGCCGUGGACGUUGGAAAACUGAGAAGAGCUGCUCCUAGUACGAGAGGACCGGAGUGGACGAACCCCUGGUGUACGGGUUGUGAUGCCAAUCGCAUUGCCCGGUAGCUACGUUCGGACGGGAUAACCGCUGAAAGCAUCUAAG